rnacentral:lncRNA from 1 species
UCCAUUUUUGCCUUGACCAAUUUUUUAACUUGAACCCCUAGAAUUUUGAAGAUAUAUCAGCAAUAUUGACCGUAGCAAUUACAAAAACUAAUUGAACCUAAAUUCUUCAAGUUAAUUUUAUAGGAUAAUUUUUUGUUGGAUCACUAAGUAUUAGAGACUAGUGCAUCUAAUGGUUAUGCACAAUAACUUUAGCAAUUGUAACAUAU